rnacentral:rRNA from 1 species
GACGAACGCUGGCGGCGUGCCUAGUACAUGCAAGUUGAGCGCUGAAGGUUGGUACUUGUACCAACUGGAUGAGCAGCGAACGGGUGAGUAACGCGUGGGGAAUCUGCCUUUGAGCGGGGGACAACAUUUGGAGACGAAUGCUAAUACCGCAUAAAAACUUUAAACACAAGUUUUAAGUUUGAAAGAUGCAAUUGCAUCACUCAAAGAUGAUCCCGCGUUGUAUUAGCUAGUUGGUGAGGUAAAGGCUCACCAAGGCGAUGAUACAUAGCCGACCUGAGAGGGUGAUCGGCCACAUUGGGACUGAGACACGGCCCAAACUCCUACGGGAGGCAGCAGUAGGGAAUCUUCGGCAAUGGACGAAAGUCUGACCGAGCAACGCCGCGUGAGUGAAGAAGGUUUUCGGAUCGUAAAACUCUGUUGGUAGAGAAGAACGUUGGUGAGAGUGGAAAGCUCAUCAAGUGACGGUAACUACCCAGAAAGGGACGGCUAACUACGUG